AUGUUCUAUAUUUUCUUUGUUCUAUGCAGGGGUCUGCAAACCGUUCUUCUAGGCAGAAUUUGAAACGGCCCGCCGAUCGGCAGUCUCGUCGUGCUGAUAUCGACGCGGAGGCAGAGGAUGAUGAGGUUGGUGACUAAUUCUGCAUCGUGAAACUGUGGAAAUGGAAGGCGGCCGCGCUGGUGGGAGUUGUAUAUGGAGAUGGCACAUUGUUUGCAACAGUUGUUGAGGUAACAUGAAAUGGCAUUAGGCAUUUUUCUUUUCUUUUUUUCUACGCAAAUAAGCCUGGGAUGUGUUUUUUUACACAGUUGCACAAGAACCAGCUAGGUGUUGGCAUCCCGAACUUUUAUAGUUGCACAAGAAUUAAUCAAGAGUUGGCAUCCUCAACUUUUCAAAUAGUUGCACAAUGGUAUCAUAUGAGUUGACAUCCUCAACUUUCGUAGUUGCACCAACACCAUUUUGGAGUUGGCACUCUCAGCUUUUUAAUUAGUCCCACAAUAAUAUCACUGAGUUGGCAUCCUCAACUAUUUUAGUUGCACAAGAACCAAUCAGGAGUUGGCAUCCCAAUUUUUCUUAAUAGUUGCACAACAAUGCGACAUGAGUUGGCAUCUUCAACUUUUUUUUGAGGGAGGCAUCUAUGAGUUGGCAUCCUCAUGUAUUCACAUGCAUCUGAUUUGCUAGGUUUGUAGAUGCACUUGAAUGUAGUUGCACUACUUAUUUGGAAGAUUGUAAUCUUUUAGAAUAACUAUUUUUUUCCAUGUCUUGUGUUCAGACAUGCUAAAUUCAUCAAGUUCAUCAGUUCAAAAUUCAUUACAUAGUUGAACAAACAUGCAAUAUGAAUUGCAUGCAGGAGCACUUGCAGUCGCACAAAAUAGAUGAUGUAGUUGCAAAACAACCCGCAUAAGUUUUUCUUUUCAGAAUUUUGCAUACAGAAUUUUAGCCAAACCAAAAUGAAUCUGAAAUUAUAUGAGUUGGCAUCUUCAAUUUUUUAUGAGUUAAAGAUGCCAACUACUGAAAUUCAAACCCCACAAGUAGAUGGAUAUGGCAGUGUUGUUAGUUGCACACUUGUGUUGGUUAAGUUGCACAAAUACAACCCAGAGAUGGUUCAUUUUUUCCAAGGCUUCAUUUUUGCAUGAUGUGUAGGCUUUACAGGUUAUGGGGGUGGAGGAGCUGCUAUAGAUUUGUGCACACAAUUCUCAGCUACGAAGUCACAUAUACUAAUGUGUGGAAAGAUCAAAGAAAAAAAAUACUUCGAAACCAGAUUCUUGUCUAGUAGGUAGUUAUCUUUUCGUAGUAGCUAUAACACUUUUUUUUGCUACAUGGACAUUUGUUCUUCUACAUUAUGUGUGAAUAAGACUCUCUAUGUGCACUCUCCUAUAUUUUUGCACAUUUUCUGCGUUUUGUUGCACACAUGCUAUAAAAGUUGGCUUGUCCCAUGAUGUAGUUGCACGAAAAUCAGUUAAAAAAGAAAAGAUUCUAGAUCUCCCCGUUUUGAUCUCUGUUUAUGCUAUCUACAACAACUAUGGAGAAGCUAUUUUUGCAAAGAGAAAUUUGGUGAGGGAGAAAGGAAAAGGCAAAGGAAGGACCUGGACAGGAGGACAAAGGAUCACCUCUUUUUUCACCCUUGCUGGUGCCUACUGCCUGCUCUAGCAAUGAAGAUCCAGACAUGGUAACCCCUUUGUUUCAUGGGUAAGAAGGUGCGGGCAGGUAGGGGCGUGGGAAAAAGAAGUUGGUGGCCAGAGGGGCGUGAGAGCUUCAGGAGGGGAGGGCUUUGUUACUACCGAGGGAGGGCUUUUGUUUCUCAGGUGUUUGUACCAUGUGCUAUGGUAGAUCAAUGCAAGAUGAACAUACUAAGCAAGCUCUGCUGCUACUUCAAAAAGAUGAUGAAAGCAAAAAAUAGUUGUCAAUUUUAUUUGUCCUUAUUUGUACAGUUAUUUGUUAGGUUGCAUAGUUACAGGAACAUUUAUUUCUCUUUGUGUUUUUCUUAUGCCCGUGUGUGAACCCAGAACUUUUAC